rnacentral:rRNA from 1 species
AGUGAACGCUGGCGGUAGGCCUAACACAUGCAAGUCGAACGGCAGCACAGUAAGAGCUUGCUCUUACGGGUGGCGAGUGGCGGACGGGUGAGGAAUACAUCGGAAUCUACUUUUUCGUGGGGGAUAACGUAGGGAAACUGACGCUAAUACCGCAUACGACCUACGGGUGAAAGCAGGGGAGCUUCGGACCUUUCGCGAUUGAAUGAGCCGGUGUCGGAUUAGCUAGUUGGCGGGGUAAAGGCCCACCAAGGCAACGAUGCGUAGCUGGUCUGAGAGGAUGAUCAGCCACACUGGAACUGAGACACGGUCCAGACUCCUACGGGAGGCAGCAGUAGGGAAUAUUCCACAAAGGGCGCAAGCCUGAUGGAGCAACGCCGCGUGAGUGAUGAAGGUCUUCGGAUUGUAAAACUCUGUUAUUAGGGAAGAAAAGAUGUGUAAGUAACCGUGGACAUCUUGACGGUACCUAAACAGAAAGCCACGGCUAACUUCGUG